UACAACAACUCUCCGUCGUCGUCGUUCCUAUGCUUUGCCGGUCGUUCCAGUCGCCGGCCGUGUCUCCGUCGCCGUCCUUCCCGUCGGCCAUCUCUUCCCAAGUCACCAUCUUCUUCUUCUCAUCCAAAAUCUCAAAAUAAUUUAUCAACCGGGCCGAAAACAUCUCCGGAGAUUCCACCCAGAAGAAGAAAUCAACCGUUUGUGUAUUGAGGUCGGACACCCGGUAUAGGAAUUCUUAUGUCAUAAGACGGGGGUAUCUCUUCGGCAUUUCCUCGAGAUAAUGAACUUGUUCAACAACUUAAAGAUCUUAACCGGAUUAUAAAAGAAAAAGAUGAGGCGGUCAAAGAAUUGAAGCAAAAAAAUCCAAGAUUACGGAGCAAUUCACCGAGACAAUUCCC